AACAUUUAUAUUUAUAACUGAAUUAGGUAUACUAUGCUCUCAGGUAUAUACACAUUUGCCAGUAGCAAUAAUUUCCAUUUAUUAUAUAUAGUGACUUUUGAUAAUUUCACUUCUGUUUCCACACUUAGAGUGCACACACUCUAACUGGCAUUUCUAAUGGAUUAUUCACCUUUCUCUCAGGUAGCAAAGUUAACUUUCAAGUGUAAGAGAACAGACAGUUAUGGACUUUAUCAAAUCAAAGUGAUGCAUCUUUGGUCAUAUUAUGUUGGAUUUCAGCAUCAGAUAAGGUAGUCAAAUCAGUUCAAAAUCAGCAUGAAUUGAGGACUGAAUACUGGUUCAAAACAACUGAUACAUUUUUUACUAAGAAUACAGAAUAGAGAAUGUAAGGGUUCCAUAUGUUGUCAGUGUUUCCAUGUUAUCUUACAUUUGAAUCACUGUAAAACUUUGACAGUUCAAAAUGUAGUUAUUAGAGGAAAAAAUUCCAAGUCACCCAAGUAUAAGAUUCCUGGAACUUGAGAAGUACAAGAUUUACUUCUCAUCAAGAGGAACGAACUUUCAACCUUAAUGCAGUUAAAUGAGAACUCAAACUACUGUGCUAUUGAACACAGUAAGAGUGCCCAUGCAGGCUGUUCUUGGAAUUGAAUGUUGUUUUCUGGGAAACUAGUGGUGUUCAAGUUAAAGCAUCCAAAUUUCAGCUCACUUCUAGUGUCUAACAUUUAAUUUCUUUUGGAUGGUUCAAGCCCUUCAGUUUUGUCCAGCCAGCUAGUAAGAAUAAAUAUUCAUUUGAAUAUUGAGGUCAAAUCCGGAGCUCAAUCCCUCUGCUUUGUGAAAAUGGAAAUCUCAUUUCUUUCAGAUGUCAGAAAUUCUGAGCAGUUCCAGUUGCUCAUCAUCACAACCACUGAUGCCAUACACCUCACUGGGCAUUCGGUUUCCUUUUGGGAAAUUCACUGUCUUCUCUUGGAAGUGUUACAGAGACAACUGAGGAAGAUGUAUGGAAUUUAUUACUUCUUUUCCCUAUUCCAGUACACUCCAGGCCUAUUAAGUAUUGGCAAAGUUCUGGUAAGAAACUUUAAGAACUCCCUUAUAUUUUUAAGUGCUUCAUUUUGGUAUUCCACUAAGAGUUUUUUGGCAUCUUACACUUACUCUGUUGGUGAAGAUGCCUUUACUCAGAGUGGGUUAUCUACCUACAAGCCAUCUGUGUUGUAA
rnacentral:lncRNA from 1 species